CAGCGGGUUUACUUUGUUUACAUCACGUGAUCUAAAUGAAGCAACUUGAUUUGCUGAAAAAAUUUUAACGGCUAACUCCCGAAAAAUGGUAACCCUCGACACAAAAGCAACAACAAGAAAACAGCCCCUUCGUCUUGAAAAAUUGCAAAAAGUAAUUCAGAGAAAGAAAAGUCCAAGAAAUGAAGUGAGAAGUGGUAGCUAGAGCUAGAAGUAAAGUAGUAAAGUUAGAAGAAGAAAAUAGAAGCUAGAGGUUGAAGUGGAUUUGAAAUCACAAAUAAUUGCGUACAAUGAGAGCGAGAGAUGUUAUCUUUCAAUACGUGAGAUAAAAAGAAGAAAGCGAAACCUCAUCCCGCGUUGUUAUUGUUGUUCUGUCAAAAACUUGAAGCUGUUUUAUAAAUCUUGAUAAAGUUAAUAAAUUGUUUUCGUUUCUGUA